UACGGAGGGGGCUAGCGUUGUUCGGAAUUACUGGGCGUAAAGCGCACGUAGGCGGAUAUUUAAGUCAGGGGUGAAAUCCCGGGGCUCAACCCCGGAACUGCCUUUGAUACUGGGUAUCUGGAGGUCGAGAGAGGCGAGUGGAAUUCCGAGUGUAGAGGUGAAAUUCGUAGAUAUUCGGAGGAACACCAGUGGCGAAGGCGACUCGCUGGCUCGAUACUGACGCUGAGGUGCGAAAGCGUGGGGAGCAAACAGG
rnacentral:rRNA from 1 species